rnacentral:rRNA from 1 species
GAUGAACGCUGGCGGCGUGCCUAAUACAUGCAAGUCGAGCGAACGGACGAGAAGCUUGCUUCUCUGAUGUUAGCGGCGGACGGGUGAGUAACACGUGGAUAACCUACCUAUAAGACUGGGAUAACUUCGGGAAACCGGAGCUAAUACCGGAUGAUAUUUUGAACCGCAUGGUUCAAAAGUGAAAGACGGUCUUGCUGUCACUUAUAGAUGGAUCCGCGCUGCAUUAGCUAGUUGGUAAGGUAACGGCUUACCAAGGCAACGAUGCAUAGCCGACCUGAGAGGGUGAUAGGCAACACUGGAACUGAGACACGGUCCAGACUCCUACGGGAGGCAGCAGUAGGGAAUCUUCCGCAAUGGGCGAAAGCCUGACGGAGCAACGCCGCGUGAGUGAUGAAGGUCUUCGGAUCGUAAAACUCUGUUAUUAGGGAAGAACAUAUGUGUAAGUAACUGUGCACAUCUUGACGGUACCUAAUCAGAAAGCCACGGCUAACUACGUG